AUUGAACGCUGGCGGCAGGCCUAACACAUGCAAGUCGAGCGGAUGAAGGGAGCUUGCUCCUGGCUUCAGCGGCGGACGGGUGAGUAAUUCCUAGGAAUCUGCCUGGUAGUGGGGGAUAACGUCCGGAAACGGGCGCUAAUACCGCAUACGUCCUGAUGGAGAAAGUGGGGGAUCUUCGGACCUCACGCUAUCAGAUGAGCCUAGGUCGGAUUAGCUAGUUGGUGGGGUAAAGGCCUACCAAGGCGACGAUCCGUAACUGGUCUGAGAGGAUGAUCAGUCACACUGGAACUGAGACACGGUCCAGACUCCUACGGGAGGCAGCAGUGGGGAAUAUUGGACAAUGGGCGAAAGCCUGAUCCAGCCAUGCCGCGUGUGUGAAGAAGGUCUUCGGAUUGUAAAGCACUUUAAGUUGGGAGGAAGGGAAGUAAGUUAAUACCUGGCUGUUUUGACGUUACCAACAGAAUAAGCACCGGCUAACUUCGUG
rnacentral:rRNA from 1 species